rnacentral:rRNA from 1 species
GAUGAACGCUGGCGGCGUGCCUAAUACAUGCAAGUCGAGCGAACAGACGAGGAGCUUGCUCCUCUGACGUUAGCGGCGGACGGGUGAGUAACACGUGGAUAACCUACCUAUAAGACUGGGAUAACUUCGGGAAACCGGAGCUAAUACCGGAUAAUAUAUUGAACCGCAUGGUUCAAUAGUGAAAGACGGUUUUGCUGUCACUUAUAGAUGGAUCCGCGCCGCAUUAGCUAGUUGGUAAGGUAACGGCUUACCAAGGCGACGAUGCGUAGCCGACCUGAGAGGGUGAUCGGCCACACGGGAACUGAGACACGGUCCAGACUCCUACGGGAGGCAGCAGUAGGGAAGCUUCCGCAAUGGGCGAAAGCCUGACGGAGCAACGCCGCGUGAGUGAUGAAGGUCUUCGGAUCGUAAAACUCUGUUAUUAGGGAAGAACAAAUGUGUAAGUAACUAUGCACGUCUGGACGGUACCUAAGCAGAAAGCCACGGCUAACUACGU